UUGUUUUGCUUGUUUAUUUUUUUUUAAUUUCGAAAGAAAACUGUCAUCAAAUUUUACAAUAAAACCGUUCGGUCCAAGAAUGUCCCGCCUUCAAGCAAUUCUUGUUUCAGCCUUGAUCAUUCUGCUGUGUCUGGCACCAUCUGAAAAAACGGAACCGACAGAAUGUUACAGAUGCAGCAGAAAAUGCACGGAUCCUGUUAAAAUAGAAAAAUGCGGAUCUUCUUAUUACAAUAAUCCCAACAGAACAUACGUGUGUGCGACCAAAAACCGCCUAUCUCCCAAUCGUCUAGUCGUCGAGAAAGGAUGCUACUAUAUGGGUGAUUAUUUCAUGAACUCUUGCCAUAACUAUUCAGACAUUGUAUGCGUUCACUGUGAUACAGAUCUUUGUAACACCGGCCAAUUUCUGUAUUACACGGGACCGAAUUCUACUGGCACCAGUGUGCCACGAACAUCUUUAGAUUAUUAUUCAUCGUCCUUCUUAUUGUCCCUUGCGCUUCUUCUUGUGAUUUUACAAUAAAAUUUACAAUAAUAAA